rnacentral:rRNA from 1 species
UACAGAGGAGCCAAGCGUUGUCCGGAUUGACUGGGCGUAAAGCGCACGCAGGCGGGUGCGCGCGUGGGGUGUGAAAUCUGGCCGCUUAACGGCCAGGCGCCAUCCCAUACGGCGCGCCUGGAGCCUUGCAGAGGGCGGUGGAAUUGCCGGUGUAGUGGUGAAAUGCGUAGAUAUCAGGAGGAACACCUGUGGUGUAGACGGCUUACUGGACCAUGACUGACGCUGAGGCACGAAAGCGUGGGGAGCAAACAGG